UACGGAGGGUGCGAGCGUUGUCCGGAAUCACUGGGCGUAAAGGGCGCGUAGGCGGCCGUGUAAGUCACUUGUGAAAUCCCGAGGCUCAACCUCGGGUCUGCAGUCGAUACGAGCAAACUAGAGUGUUGCAGGGGAGACUGGAAUUCCUGGUGUAGCGGUGAAAUGCGCAGAUAUCUGGAGGAACACCGGUGGCGAAGGCGGCAUCCUGGACCGGCAUUGACGCUGAGGCGCGAAAGCCAGGGGAGCAAACGGG
rnacentral:rRNA from 1 species